GUUUCCUCGGCGGGCUUGCCCGCCGACUGGACAAUUAUAAAACCUUUUUAAUUCUCAAUCAGCGUCUGAAUAAUUAUAAUAAUUACAACUUUCAACAACGGAUCUCUUGGUUCUGGCAUCGAUGAAGAACGCAGCGAAAUGCGAUAAGUAGUGUGAAUUGCAGAAUUCAGUGAAUCAUCGAAUCUUUGAACGCACAUUGCGCCCCUUGGUAUUCCAUGGGGCAUGCCUGUUCGAGCGUCAUUUGUACCCUCAAGCUAUG
rnacentral:rRNA from 1 species